GGACGCAGAAGGAGAGCACGAGCCGGAAAUGGAAAAGCCGGUACAAGCGUAUAGCAGUCAUGCAGGCAAAACCGCAUGAAAAAUGUAAAGCGUUAUGUGGAUCGAACAUUAGUAGAGAAGCGUGUGAGCCAGCUGCCAAGAAAAGCCGCUAUUGUUUCAUAAGUACCCGUACCGUAAACCGACACAGGUGGAUGAGGAGAGAAUCCUAAGGCCGGCGGGAGAAGUGUUGUUAAGGAACUCGGCAAAAUGACUCCGUAACUUCGGGAGAAGGAGUGCCACAGAGAUGUGGCCGCAGAGAAAUGGCCCAAGCAACUGUUUAGCAAAAACACAGGUCUAUGCAAAACCGAAAGGUGAGGUAUAUGGGCUGACGCCUGCCCGGUGCUGGAAGGUUAAGAGGAGAGGUUAGAGCAAUCGAAGCUUUGAAUUUAAGCCCCAGUAAACGGCGGCCGUAACUAUAGCGGUCCUAAGGUAGCGAAAUUCCUUGUCGGGUAAGUUCCGACCCGCACGAAAGGCGUAAUGAUUUGGGCACUGUCUCAACAACACACCCGGUGAAAUUGAAAUACCAGUGAAGAUGCUGGUUACCUGCGCCAGGACGGAAAGACCCCAUGGAGCUUUACUCCAGUUUGAUACUGGGAUUCGGUACUGUCUGUACAGGAUAGGUGGGAGGCUAGGAAAUGGUGACGCCAGUUGCCAUGGAGCCAACCUUGGGAUACCACCCUUACAGUACUGGGUUUCUAACCUGCAGCCGUAACCCGGCUGGGGGACAAUGUCUGACGGGGAGUUUGACUGGGGCGGUCGCCUCCGAAAGAGUAUCGGAGGCGCUCAAAGGUUCCCUCAGAACGGUUGGAAACCGUUCGAAGAGUGCAAAGGCAGAAGGGAGCUUGACUGCGACACCGACGGGUGGAGCAGAUACGAAAGUAGGACUUAGUGAUCCGGUGGUAUAAAGUGGGAUUGCCAUCGCUCAACGGAUAAAAGCUACCCUGGAUAACAGGCCUAUCACUCCCAAGAGCUCACAUCGACGGAGUGGUUUGGCACCUCGAUGUCGGCUCAUCGCAUCCUGGAGCUGUAGCAGGUUCCAAGGGUUGGGCUGUUCGCCCAUUAAAGCGGUACGCGAGCUGGGUUCAGAACGUCGUGAGACAGUUCGGUCCCUAUCCGGCGUGGGCGUAGGAUAUUUGAGAGGAGCUGUCCUUAGUACGAGAGGACCGGGAUGGACAAACCUCUGGUGUAUCUGUUGUUUUACAAAGGCAUGGCAGAGUAGCCAAGUUUGGCAGGGAUAAACGCUGAAGGCAUCUAAGCGUGAAGCCCCCCUCAAGAUAAGAUAUCCCAUCUUCGGAGUAAGACCCCUUGAAGACUACAAGGUUGAUAGGCUUCAGGUGUAAGUGUGGUAACGCACUCAGCUGAGAAGUACUAAUAGGUCGAGGACUUAUC
rnacentral:rRNA from 1 species